CCUACGGGAGGCAGCAGAGGGGAAUAUUGCACAAUGGGGGAAACCCUGAUGCAGCGACGCCGCGUGAGUGAAGAAGUAAUUCGUUACGUAAAGCUCUAUCAGCAGGGAAGAAAUGCUGACCUUACGGUCAGCAGACGGUACCUGCGUCAGAAGCACCGGCUAACUACGUGCCAGCAGCCGCGGUAAUACGUAGGGGGCCAGCGUUAUCCGGAUUUACUGGGGGGAAAGGGAGCGUAGACGGGGCGCGAAGUCUGGAGUGAAAUGCCGCAGCUUAACUGCGGAACUGCGUGUGAAACUGGCGAACUAGAGUGCGGGAGGGGUAAGCGGAAUUCCUAGUGUAGCGGUGAAAUGCGUAGAUAUUAGGAGGAACACCGGUGGCGAAGGCGGCUUACUGGACCGUAACUGACGUUGAGGCUCGAAAGCGUGGGGAGCAAACAGGAUUAGAUACCCCAGUAGUC
rnacentral:rRNA from 1 species